AACGAACGCUGGCGGCAGGCCUAACACAUGCAAGUCGAACGCCCUAGCAAUAGGGAGUGGCAGACGGGUGAGUAACACGUGGGAACCUUCCCUAUAGUACGGAAUAGCUCAGGGAAACUUGAAGUAAUACCGUAUACGCCCGAGAGGGGAAAGAUUUAUCGCUAUAGGAUGGGCCCGCGUCGGAUUAGCUAGUUGGUGAGGUAAUGGCUCACCAAGGCGACGAUCCGUAGCUGGUUUGAGAGAACGACCAGCCACACUGGGACUGAGACACGGCCCAGACUUCUACGGGAGGCAGCAGUGGGGAAUAUUGGACAAUGGGCGCAAGCCUGAUCCAGCCAUGCCGCGUGAGUGAUGAAGGCCUUAGGGUUGUAAAGCUCUUUUAGCAGGGAAGAUAAUGACUGUACCUGCAGAAUAAGCUCCGGCUAACUUCGUGCCAGCAGCCGCGGUAAU
rnacentral:rRNA from 1 species